CUUCCCAUAAGCUACCGUAGUGCUUUGUAUAUACCAUCUCUUUCAAACCGCAUAAAAACAGCACCACUUAGAAACAAAGAGAAAACGAGAAUAGCGUUUAAGUCUGCAAUUACUCUAAGAACAUUACUUUUCACCAACACCAAAGGAAAAAUAGAAAAAAUGGAUAAGUCAGACGUGGUUUACAAAAUUAAAUGUGCAGGUGGAAGUGAGACGGAUUGUUCUUCCGUAUAUGUAGGAACAUCGAAACAAAAGCUCCGCAAUCGUCUCUCAGGCCAUCGAUCUGAUAUAAACAACGGUGGCUCUCAAAAAACUGCACUUGCAUUGCAUUGCAUAGAAAAGAACCACAAACCUAACUUUGAUGACGUCACAAUCUUGGAGGUGGAGAGGCAUCAUAACAAAAGAAUGUUGCUAGAGAUGCUGCAUAUCAACAACACCGAUAAUGCAGUUAAUAGACGGUCUGAUUGUGACAGUCUCAGCAUUAUAUACAACCAGCUGAUAACAAAUAAGAAGAAACAGUCGUCGUGAACAGUGGUGUGAAAAAAUUCUUUUCUUUUAAUGCUGUUAAAUAAAUUGAAAUGUGUGUUUGUGCUGUAAAUACAAAUCAACUAAUUGUUGUUGCCUGAUGAAGAGUGUAUUCAUGCUCGAAACGUUGUAACCAUAUAAAAAUCUUUUAUUGACCUGGAGCCUGCAUCAAAGUUUUUCA